GUGCCUCCUUCGGCAGCACAUAUAUGAAAAUUAGAACGAGACAGAGAAGGUUACCAUGGCCCAUGCAUAAGGAUGACAUGCAAAUUCGUGAAGCAUUCCAUAUUUUA